GCCAACCUCUACCGCUGGUUCCCCCCCAUCCCCGCCGCCUCCCUCAGCGCGGCGGGGUUCGAGCUGCCGCCCGCUGCAGGCAGCGCCGCCGUGAGGGGCUGCCCCGCCACCGGGCCCUGCCGUUACCUGGGAGAGCCGGGGAAGACCUAGAGAGGGGGAAUCGGACCCUGUGCUCAGGACCUGGGUGGAAGUGCUCCAUGAUCACUGCUGUGUCAGUGAUAAGUAUCAAUGCACACUGCAUGGCACCCCAUGAUGCUGAAGAGGAGACAGUGCUGAGGACCUGCCCAAAUACACCUAUCCCAGACCUGACCUGCUUUGUGCUGGAGAUCCUGUCACUUUGCUGAAGUGAUGCAGAGGACAAAAAACGUGAUGGAGGUCAAGUUCAGCAAUACGUGGCAGUGCACAGCCUGGACUAUGAAGGGAGCUAUUUUUAACCUGGAUGUGUUCUGUGAUUUGUUUCCCACACAGCAUUGAAACUGGCACAGCUGAGGGGUUGGUGGCAAUGAAGUUGCACCAAGAAGUCCAAGAGCAAUCAGGAGAGACUUCAGGGCUUCAGGAUGGUUGCUUAAGGGGUCGGGAGCACAAACACUUAAAAUACCAAGACUUUUUCUUUUCCAGCUAUCUAAAUAAUUUUCCCUGUGAACUGAACUGCUUCCUCUGGAUAAUACACUGUUUUUCUACCUGCUGGAGAGGUGGAGUCCCCCUGAAUGUACUGCUGCUCUGCAUAACCAGGAACUGUCUCCUGAACACAGAGUAAGACAGAACAGCUUGGACUUAGCAGUCCUGUGAGAUUUACAAAUCAAACCAGCUAAUCAAGAUUUAAAACAGCUCUAGAUUGAAAAGACUAGCAAGUGGUCCAGCUGUGAGUUAAUUCAUUAGUUGCAGUAAAUAUCACUAGAAGAGCUUGUCAAAAGGAAAUGUGAAGCAGCUGAAAAGAAUCAUCCUUAAAGUGAAUGUCAUAGGCUUUUGCAGCUGUCAUCCAGUGGACUGGAGAUUCCAGGCAUUGGAGAGAAAAUGAGGGUGAAAGAAAUAAAAAUUUGAGUACAGAGGAUAAAGUACUAGUUCCCACUGAGUGAUUAUAAAGGAAGCAAUCUUACCACUACAGGGACCUAAUUAGAGACUGAAUCUCACAACUGUCUAAUGUCUCCUCCAGGACUCUGAGAAACCCGAACUAGCUAACACAGUCCACUCAGACGAGCAGCACUAGGAGGCUCUGCUGCUUCAGGGCACACUGGAAUUGCCACAUUUAUGUAGCUGUGGGCAUUUUCCAGUGUUCUUGUGUCCUGUUCAGCACUCGCUUAGAACCAAAGCAGCAACACUGUUUUCUUGCCUGGCCAGCACAGCGCCAUCUUGGUCCUACAGAAGGCAACAAUGGGCUUCUACUACCACAUACCUGAGUAUCCCUAAGGAAAGGCAUCAGGACCCUUUGUACCAGGCAAAUAUAAGAGUUAGUUGUCAGCAUUAACAAAAGAGAAUUUCACAUUUCUAUGACUGAUCUGAUGAAUCACUACUUUUCUUGCUCCCCAAAAUGUGUAGAUCAGGUGUGAGUCCUCAGGCCUUCCUGGAGUCGCCAGUGCUGUCAGUCAGGGCUUGCCUGUAUCAAUUCACUUAAGCCUGGGUGCAGGGCUCAGCUCUCCCACCUUGAUCCACCUAUUGCUUGUGUGAGACACUGUCACCCUUCUUUCCAUCCUUGUGGAAAUGUGGAAACACUGGCCAUAGUUUGAGGCUAACCUUUGGCAGCAGUGCCCACUGCUUUUCUAGCUGCUCCUUUCAGCUUCUGAGCUGCAGUGCAUCACCUCAUCAUUGAUGUGCCAAGCAGGGAACCCCCUGACUUAGGUUUUUUCUUUGGUGAUUUCUUCUAAGCAGCAACAAGUUUUUGCUAGAUUUUAUUUAUGACUGAUCAUUUCUGGCCCCUGGUCCUCAGUAUUUCCCUCCUGGUGCAAGGAAGCGCUGUGACAGCAAGUAGCCAUGCUCUGGGGUCAGCAGUGGGGUGAGCAAGGAGGAAUCUUUUUGCCUGGUAUUGCCAUGAAAGGCACGUUUAAUGUAACGCUGUCCCCACAGAGUGAUUCUGUGCAGGUGAGGCUUCAGGGAAGUACAAGGAUCUCUUCCAGUAUUAGUGCUACUAGCAGUCACAUUUUUCUGUAGCAGGAUUUUCCAGGCAUAGGGAAGGUCUGUGCCUUCUGAAACCACUCAGGUAGUUCAGUGCUCCUGGGAAGAAGAAGGAUAACUGCACAGAUGCAUUGUGUUUGCAGGGACAGUGGUUUAGAGGUCUCUUCUGAAGCUGGGAGGAGGUAAGUGACCUGCCCAGAGAGAGCUCAGCCAAUAUCUGACAAGGACAUUUUCAUAACCAAGAUAAAUAAACAGAUGCCUUUUUUGCUCUAGGGAAAUAAUUUCUUCUUUGCUACUAGCCUGAGACCAUUCACUUGGCUUAGCCUGUAUCUUUACCAUAUGAAACAAGCCUGAACCAUUUCAUUUGAGGUUGUUAUUUAUUUGGGUCAAUAUGAAACAUUUCUGGCAUUUCUUUUCCAUUUUCCUGCCUUUAUAUGUUGCUGUCUUCACUCCUGUGUAUAUAUUUUCUUCUCUAUAUCUCAGUUCUCCUCUCUUGUAAUAUUUUAAAUCCUUAAUUGCCUGAUGCAGCAAAUUGAGAGUAUUAGUUACCUUCCAUGACCACUCUGACCACAAUGACUUCCUUUGCUUGACAAGGUGAUUAAUUUGUCAAGUUGAAUGUUUAAGUCUGUCUGGAGUAUCUCUGUGUAUCUUGUGCAAGAUUGCAGUUGCAGGUUUGUUCCUUAUUGGACAUGCUGUUUCUUCAGACACAGAAUACCUCUGAGGGGCUUUUCUUCCCCCACUUCCCUACUGAGAGUGAUGCUCCUGCAGUUUAUACCAAUGAUCAUAUCCUGCAUGUCCCCUAGGAGAGGGUAAACAGCAGGUGCAACAUGGAAGCCAUAGCAUCAGCAGUGCUUUCAGAUUGUACAGUGGAUAUAAUUGAGGGAAAAUAGCAAAACUCAAGUAAAUUAAAUGCAUUUUGUAGCAGUUCCUGAGGGAGAACAGACUGCAUUGUUUGUGAGCUUCUAUCCAGGUCAAGCAGGCCGGAUCUUCCACAGAGAAGUUGCUGACUUUGGCCCCAAAAUAUCAUUGUUAAGGUAAGAAAAAUAUCCAAAUUUCUCUUAAUUUUUCCUAGUUGGUACAUUAUAAAGGCAUUCAGACCACUGUAGACAUAAGCAUUCAGGAAACAACACUAAGCAACACAAAGAACAAAAAACAGUAGGUACUUCCUGAGAAGUUUGGAAAACUGACUCUUAUACCACUGAGGGAGUGUAAGUCCUAACAGCUACAGUAGCCGCAUGUCACCUGGGACCAGAGUGUGAAUGAUUCUUUUGUAAUAUUACUUGGUGAAUGUCUCAACAUCUUGAGCUCAUUGCAGAAGAGAAAAAAAAAGCUGGACAGUGUUAUUUUCUGAUAGCACUGGAACAUUAAUUUCUCUGUGAUGGUAUCCAACUGUCUUGGGUAUCUGAGCAGGCAGGUCAAAGGAAAGCAAUGUGUAGACUUGAUUUUCGAAAGCACCUUUUUCCAGUAAGUGUGAACUUAUUUUCUUUUAGGAAUAAUAUUUUUUCCUGGCAUAUUGUAACAGAAAUAAUAAAAUAAACAAAAGCAUAGUAUACUUGUAAGAUGAACCUCAGAGCUAUACUGGGCAAGAAGCUGUCUCAAGGCAGCCUUUGUUUCCCCAGGGACUUGCACUCUAGCCACUCCCUGCCCUGGGCUAGUGUGCUGGGAUGCCCUGGCCUGUCCUGUCCUGGUCUCCCCCCUGUUCUGUAGCUCUGAGCCCCGCCACUUCCUGUCCUCGGAAAGGCAGAGGUGGUGGAGCAGGCUCCCAGCAGCUACAGAGGAGCAGAGGGUCUCCAUCAGGGCAUCUCCUUGCAGGAGAUGGAGAAGACACCUCUGCCAUAGGGUUGCAGCAGGGGCAGUCACAGGCUUCCUUCUACAGCUGGCAGCACUCUGCUUUUUCCCAUCAUUUAUUAUCUGAUGUCUGGUUUUGUCUGUUUUGUGCUGGCUUUUGGGACACCUCCUCCUUGGGCUGCCAAGGAUGGUGGCAGUGUCCUCACACCAAGGGUAUUGACCCCGGCCCUGGGCACAAAGCAUCCAUCCCCACUGCUUGCCUGACCCUCCCCUUGAGACCUACUUUUACUGGGAGAAACAAGGUAACCUCGCCACUGAAAAUAGCUGGGACGGCGGCCAGUGGAGAUUAAUGGCAUCAUUAACGUUCUCAGUUUAUUUAUAGGCUUAAAAAUGCCUCGGACCCGCAAACUGAGCAGAGUUGUUCUGUGUAACACAGGGACUGACAGGUCUCCUGCUUCUGCCUUUCCCCUUCCUACUAUUUCAUUCUAAUUGCUGGGACUGUAAAACCUCAGGAGCAGGGACUGUCUCUCAUUGUGAACCUACUCUGUAAACCUUCCUAACUGGGGGGAUGCACACAGAUACUUUUUUUUUCCAAGAAUGCUGUAUUUGUCUGGUCUCCUUCCUCCACCAACUCCUUCUGUGCACACUGUGUCCCAUGGCCUUCUUUGGGAAAAUUAUCUUUUAGAUGAAUUCCUGAGGCACGAGCUGAGCGGUUGUCACAGGAAUUUUCUGUGAUUUUCUGCCUUGGGUUUUAAAUUAUGCGCUCUGUAAGAGGAGGGCUAAGAUUCUCAUAGCUGUGGAGAGCACCUAGGAUAUGUAGGGCCCUAGUGAGGCAUGCAGAUGCAAUUAAUGAUCAUGGAGGUCUUUCAACAGGAGCCAGCAGAGGCAACCUAGCUCCCAGGUCCCCCAGGAACCUCAUGGGACUGGCAAGAAAAGAAAAAAACACCUCAGGUGUGUUGGCCCCAGAAGAGGAGUUUUCAGCACGUAACGUGUGGCCACACUGCCUGGCCUGUUUCCCAGUACUUAGUGAAAGGGGGUGAAAUAAAGAACGAGCAGAGAAUCACUCAAACCACUGUUGUCUUUUUUUUCCCUCUGGGCAAUGAGAAUACUUCAGAGCAGAGUGAAGGAGCCCAAAAUGGUAGAAGGAGGAUUUCUCUGCCAUGGCCACAACAGGAAAGAGAUACCUCUUACACAGUUGUUUCUCAUCUAAACUCCUGAGCACCUAACCAGAAAAGUCAGCACAACUUUCUCACUUACACUGAUGUCAGUAGGGGAGUGAGUCUUGUGGCAAAAGGGACCAUCUGCAUCUCAAACUAAUUAUCUGCUUUGAAAAGUGAAUAUACAAAGUGCAUUGCAGGCAGCAAAGGCAUUGCUGUGCUUUUACAAGAAAAAUCAAGAGCGCAAGAGCACAUUUUGAAGUGAAGGCACAUUGUCAAUAAUUAUGCACGGUUUGGGUUUGUGCUGUCUUGCCACUCAUCCUUGGAUCCUACACUGAGUCCUGACUUUCUUAUGGCACAGAUAAUAACUUAAAAGAAAGAAACCCAACAGAAUUUCCACGAUCUAUAUCUACAGCAUCACACAUGGAAGACAUAACAUUUGAUGGCUGGCGGCUUUGAAAAAAAUCACAGCUCCAUUGUGCUCCAAAGGCAUAUUGAAUGAUUCAGAUGGAAAGAAAAGCCCACGUCAGUAGGAACAGGGGACUCAAAUACGAGCGUUGAGGCCAGCAGAGCAGAGGCAUCAAUCCCAGGCAGUAGCACAUCCUGGCAAUGCUGCACCCUGUGACAGCACUGACAUUAUGGUUUCCCCCUCUCUGUUGUGGGUGUGUGGAAGGCAGGUGCUGCUCCCGGUAUUAGGGGUGUCCCUGAGCACCCCUGGUACCACAGGAAUGGCACUGAUUGCCUGAGGGUGGUGGGGCAGCAGGACAACACUCCUGUCCUACCUGGGGAGUGCAGAUCCAGCCUCCAGCAGCUGGGGGGGGAGGUGAACUCACUGCUUCCUCCUGGAGCAGGGCUGGCAGCAGUGGAUGUCAGGCAGGGCAGGAGGAAGGGGAUACGGUCACCACCGAGUGACCCCUAGCAGAGGCAGAACCUCAGUGCUCCUGAGUGGAAUCAGAGCAUGAAGUGCUAGACACGUUAUUGCUGCCACUGAACAUCUGGUGCAAAUGCUCCCCAAAAAUAGAUAAUUUCCUUCUUCCACCUCAAAGGAAACAGUGUUGGAAGGAGUCUCAGUCAUAGCUGGGCUGGUGCAAGGAAGGGUCCCUGCCAUAGGUGGGUUUACUGGCAGCCUCCUACUUGGAGACUGUUACACCUCCUGGCGAGUGACUCUUGGACCAGCCAUCAGUCCCAGGUAGGAUCCAAGGGGUUAGUCCUGUGAAAUGCCCUGACACCCACAUAGGUGCUGUGACUCUCAGCCCCUGCCUCAAAGUACGAACCCACUAGCACUUUGCCACUGGUGGGUGACAAAGCAAACCCAAAGCCUUCAGUCCCAAAAACCUGCUGUUAAAGCUGCUCCUGUGCUGAGGGGCUCAGGCUGUGAUCAGUCCUCACCUGCAUUUCCCAGUUCCAGUUUUACAUUACAGUGCUAGUUCACAGCACCUUCCUUAUUGGCAGGCAUCAGUAGAAAUGCGUGUCAACAAAACCGAAGCGAGUGUAAGCGCUGCUGCAGACAAGUCUAAUAAAAUAUGAGUCACUGUUAUUCAAUCAUUUACCAGCGCACGUUCUACAACAAAGUUCUCUCCUCUAGGAUCACCACCACACAAAUUUGAGAGUUUUUUUUUUUAAAGAGAACUGUGAUUUUACUUUUAACUGCGUAGCUGAGUCUUCAGAGGGCUGGUGCCUGUUAUCCCUGCUUGCAGCCCGGUGCUCUGCUCCCUGUGCAUCUGACAUUUUCAAGCCAGGUGUGCGGCACCAAGCCCUGGCACGACCCAUGACUUGUGCUCGGCAUGGUGUGGCCAUGGGCAAGAGUUCCACAUCGUCCUUCCUCCUGGCAGUUUUCACGCCUCCCCACCACCAGGAGCGAACAGGCAGCAAGGCAGGGGCUGCCAGGGAAACCCCCCACUCCAGUUGCCAUCAGUGGCCCUGCACUGCUGCACGCCUUCAUCAUCUGUAGUGCCACUGGUUGGUGUUUAGGGAUAGGCAUUUUCCCCCUGGGCUGGGAUGGUUUUUAAUUUUUGGUAACAAAUGCACUUGACAAACAUGGCAGCACAUGUCCUUAGUUUCCCCUCCGUAAGCCUAAUUUUUUGAAUGGCAUCUUGCAAGAAGCAUUUAAAUGGUGACCUCUUGCUACUGUAAGAUAUGUGGGGAGAUGGUCCUUUCCAGGCAUUCAAGCUGUAGUGCUUGGUCUUUCUUGUUUUUACCAGGGAACUUUUGGGAGGUCAGAAAUAUAGGAAUUGAGGUUUUGCUGCCUUAGCAGGUGAAAGGCUGCUGGAAGCAUGCAGAUGAACUUCCUUUGUGCCAAAUGACUGUCAUUUAAGUCAAACACUUUUUAACAACAGAAGCAAGAUUUUAAAAGGGCGUAGCUAAAAACCCCCACAUUUGCUUGUCCUCCUUGCUCUGUGCUGCUGUGCUAUCUCUCCGCUUAGCUUGAUCUUGAGCACUCCUGCUGCAGGGAAGGCUUGAGCUUCUGAUGUGGCAAACAGGUAGACUAAGCUAAUUUAGCGCUUAAGUCUUUUAUUCCAUCAUAAAGUGGGAAAAGGGAAGGCUCUUCUCUCUUGCGGGUCACCUCUAAUAGCAAUUGCUUCAGCAAGAUGGAUUUCAAAAUUAGGUGCUCUUGAAGCAGAAGCCACACUGUAUUUUUCAGCAGCACAAAGCAGCCGUAAGAGCAAUCUGACCUUCAUUCUUCAUAAUAAAUUCAUUGGGGGAAAAAAUCCAUCUUUGUUUUUCAGCUUGAAGUACUGUCAAAAGAAAAGCCGGGGCACGACAUAUACAAAAUAAAAAGUACAAGACAACUUCAGCAAAAUGAUAAAAAACUCUCAGAGAUUUACUUUUCCUGUUUUUUCUUAUUCCAGUAUCGGAAGAAAGUCUGACAGCUUGUCUACAAGUACAUUAUUUUGGAAUAAAGGCUGGUGUUAAUUUAAAGUGAAUCUAUUCUAGACUAAAUUAAUACCAUCUCAAAAGUGGUU